rnacentral:rRNA from 1 species
CCAAGAGUCCACAUCGACGGGGAGGUUUGGCACCUCGAUGUCGGCUCAUCGCAUCCUGGGGCUGUAGUCGGUCCCAAGGGUUGGGCUGUUCGCCCAUUAAAGCGGUACGCGAGCUGGGUUCAGAACGUCGUGAGACAGUUCGGUCCCUAUCCGUCGUGGGCGUAGGAAAUUUGAGAGGAGCUGUCCUUAGUACGAGAGGACCGGGAUGGACGCACCGCUGGUGUACCAGUUGUUCUGCCAAGGGCAUAGCUGGGUAGCUAUGUGCGGAAGGGAUAAGUGCUGAAAGCAUCUAAGCAUGAAGCCCCCCUCAAGAUGAGAUUUCCCAUAGCGUAAGCUAGUAAGAUCCCUGAAAGAUGAUCAGGUUGAUAGGUUCGAGGUGGAAGCAUGGUGACAUGUGGAGCUGACGAAUACUAAUAGAUCGAGGACUUAACCAU